rnacentral:rRNA from 1 species
AGCAGCCGCGGUAAUUCCAGCUCCAAUAGCGUAUAUUAAAGUUGUUGCAGUUAAAAAGCUCGUAGUUGAAUUUCGGGGUUAGUAGGUUGGUCAUGCCUCUGGUAUGCACUGGCCUCACUGAUUCCUCCUUCCUGAUGAGCCGUAAUGCCAUUAAUUUGGUGUUGCGGGGAAUUUGGACUGUUACUUUGAAAAAUUAGAGUGUUUAAAGCAAGCUAACGCUUGAAUACAUUAGCAUGGAAUAAUGAAAUAGGACGUUCGAUCCUAUUUUGUUGGUUUCUAGGAUUGACGUAAUGAUUAAUAGGGAUAGUUGGGGGCAUUAGUAUUCAAUUGUCAGAGGUGAAAUUCUUGGAUUUAUUGAAGACUAACUACUGCGAAAGCAUUUGCCAAGGAUGUUUUCAUUAAUCAAGAACGAAAGUUAGGGGAUCGAAGACGAUCAGAUACCGUCGUAGU